CACGGGGGGAGCAAGCGUUGUUCGGAAUCACUGGGCGUAAAGGGCGUGUAGGCGGUCUGAUAAGUGGGAUGUGAAAGCCCCCGGCUCACCCGGGGAUCUGCAUUCCAAACUGCCAGACUUGAGUAUGGGAGAGGAUAGGGGAAUUCCUGGUGUAGCGGUGAAAUGCGUAGAUAUCAGGAGGAACACCGGUGGCGAAGGCGCCUAUCUGGCCCAAUACUGACGCUGAGGCGCGAAAGCUAGGGGAGCAAACGGG
rnacentral:rRNA from 1 species